rnacentral:lncRNA from 1 species
UCCAAGGCUGUCUCCAAGGGAACCUCGUUCUUCUCUGCUCACAUCCAAGUGGAUGAUCACUGCAAAAGAAAAAAAACACAAACAUGACACAAACACAAACAAACAAGGGUGAGCUAAUUAUAUAAAAAACAUGCAUCAUAAGAGCAUAUACAUACAAGAGUAAACUUCAUUCAAUAUCAAUUUAAAGCAUACAUCUUAACAUGUGAUAUUCUAGACUUGACUCAUACCAAUUUAACCAAUACAUAAGCAUGUAACAACCAAGUAUUUCAAGCAUGCAAGGACCAUAACACAAUACAAACUAUGACCAAAUUCAUUAUCUUGAUACCAAUGACUGACCACGUGAUUUGACCAUCCGGACUAGUAUGAAAUGUCAAGUUCCAGGGGUUUGUGCACCCGGGUGGUGUAGUAACUAGAAAACCAUCAACUGUCACCCGAGGUUAGUCCGUUAUAACUCACCCAAGAACAUAUGGGCUAGGACCUCCUGCUAUUCUCACCACAUGACUCCAAUUCAAUUCUACCAUUUUUAUUAAGUUUUAGACCAGUUUUAUGAUCCUAAUAAGUCACAAUUGACUUGUCUAAACUACCUAAACAGACCAAAUGCACUGCAUACUCCUACUGCCCAAAAUCACUCCCUCACUUCCUUUUAACCAAUCCAAAAUGUUUCCCAAUUACUAAACUGUUUAUCUAAUUAUCAUCACAAUAGAGAUCUUACCUUUUCCCAACCCUCCUUACACCCCAAUUGG